rnacentral:ncRNA from 1 species
UCGUAAUAGAGUUGAUCAUAUAAUAGUGGUAAUAUGGAGCGCAAGUUUUUACCAGAUACCGUAAUAUAUCUGAUUAUGAGAAAAUUCAG